UACGUAGGGGGCAAGCGUUGUCCGGAAUCAUUGGGCGUAAAGCGCGUGUAGGCGGCUCGAUAAGUCUGCUGUGAAAGUUCAGGGCUCAACCCUGAAAUGCCGGUGGAAACUGUCGAGCUAGAGUACGGAAGAGGUGAGUGGAAUUCCUGGUGUAGCGGUGAAAUGCGCAGAUAUCAGGAAGAACACCCGUGGCUAAGGCGGCUCUCUAGUACGGUACUGACGCUGAGACGCGAAAGCGUGGGGAGCGAACAGG
rnacentral:rRNA from 1 species